AGAGGAGCAAGAGGGAGGCUGGUGGUGAUCAGGUUCCCUUCUUUUAGCUUCGGAAACGCCUAGAUCCUGGCUGCUCCUCCGAAGUCGUACUCAGAAUGGUCCAACGUUUGACAUAUCGCCGUAGGCUUUCCUACAACACAGCCUCUAACAAAACUAGGCUGUCCCGAACCCCUGGUAAUAGAAUUGUUUACCUUUAUACCAAGAAGGUUGGGAAAGCACCAAAAUCUGCAUGUGGUGUGUGCCCAGGUAGACUUC